UACAGAGGUCUCAAGCGUUGUUCGGAAUCACUGGGCGUAAAGGGUGCGUAGGUGGCGUGGAAAGUCAGAUGUGAAAUCCGGGGGCUCAACCUCCGAAUUGCAUCCGAUACUCCCAUGCUAGAGAACUGGAGGGGAGUCUGGAAUUCUCGGUGUAGCGGUGAAAUGCGUAGAUAUCGGGAGGAACACUAGUGGCGAAGGCGGGACUCUGGACAGUUUCUGACACUGAUGCACGAAGGCGUGGGUAGCGAACGGG
rnacentral:rRNA from 1 species